UACGGGGGGGGCAAGCGUUGUUCGGAAUUGCUGGGCGUAAAGGGCUCGUAGGUGGCCAACUAAGUCAGACGUGAAAUCCCUCGGCUUAACCGGGGAACUGCGUCUGAUACUGGAUGGCUUGAGUUUGGGAGGGGGAUGCGGAAUUCCAGGUGUAGCGGUGAAAUGCGUAGAUAUCUGGAGGAACACCGGUGGCGAAGGCGGCAUCCUGGACCAACACUGACACUGAGGAGCGAAAGCCAGGGGAGCAAACGGG
rnacentral:rRNA from 1 species